AUGGGAACGCGAAGAACCUUACCUACUCUUGACAUCCAGAGAACUUUUCCAGAGAUGGAUUGGUGCCUUCGGGAACUCUGAGACAGGUGCUGCAUGGCUGUCGUCAGCUCGUGUUGUGAAAUGUUGGGUUAAGUCCCGCAACGAGCGCAACCCUUAUCCUUUGUUGCCAGCGGUUAGGCCGGGAACUCAAAGGAGACUGCCAGUGAUAAACUGGAGGAAGGUGGGGAUGACGUCAAGUCAUCAUGGCCCUUACGAGUAGGGCUACACACGUGCUACAAUGGCGCAUACAAAGAGAAGCGACCUCGCGAGAGCAAGCGGACCUCAUAAAGUGCGUCGUAGUCCGGAUUGGAGUCUGCAACUCGACUCCAUGAAGUCGGAAUCGCUAGUAAUCGUAGAUCAGAAUGCUACGGUGAAUACGUU
rnacentral:rRNA from 1 species